UAGUAGGCCUGAGAGUAAUGGUAAUACACCAAUCCGCCGCAAACUUUAUGGGCGCUGCCAUCUUGCCUGCCGCCAUUACUGCGUGCCUGCGGAGUGUGACGGUGUGACACUUGCCAGUGCCUUCUAAUGGCUUUUCAAUGAAAGCAUCCUGUCAAGAGAAUAUCAAAUAGGAGAUCCUGCUCAUGAAAAAAUGUCAGGUGAAAGGGAACAUUGGGUAGAUGUCAGGCAGUGGCCAAAACUUACCAAUGAAGGUAAUUUAUUGACAACAUAAUGUAUUAAGACGUGUAUUAAUUAAUGACAACAAUAAGCCGAAUGCUAUCAUUAGUAGCUGUGUUGCUAAUAUCACAAGCUUCAGAAGUUGCAAAUAACUAUUAGCCACGACCACUUGUAGCAGUUAAAUACAUGUUCUUACAGGAUUAUUUUAUUAAUCGUAUGUAUUUCAUCCACUUUUAACGCACAUCUUGGUCCUCCACUCGACAAGGAACUCUGUGUAAUCCGUAAGCCUGUAAACAUGGGCACUCAAUGUGCAACAAAGGUUUGUGAAUUUCACAAACGGUUUAAUUCUAGGUCUGUAUAUUCUUACUGUUGUUAAAACAGCCGACCACACAACACGCUUUUCCUGGC